GUGUCUGACUCAGUGACAGUAGUAGGAGGGUGUCUGACUCAGUGAUAGUAGUAGGAGUGGUGUCUGACUCAGUGACAGUAGUAGGAGUGGUGUCUGACUCAGUGAUAGUAGUAGGAGUGGUGUCUGACUCAGUGACAGUAGUAGGAGUGGUGUCUGACUCAGUGAUAGUAGUAGGAGUGGUGUCUGACUCAGUGAUAGUAGUAGGAGUGGUGUCUGACUCAGUGAUAGUAGUAGGAGGGGUGUCUGACUCAGUGACAGUAGUAGGAGUGGUGUCUGACUCAGUGAUAGUAAUAGGAGUGGUGUCUGACUCAGUGAUAGUAAUAGGAGUGGUGUCUGACUCAGUGAUAGUAGUAGGAGGGGUGUCUGACUCAGUGAUAGAGUGAUAGUGGUAGUGAUAGUAAUAGGUAGGAGGGGUAUCUGACUCAGUGAUAGAGUGAUAGUGGUAGUGAUAGUAGUAGGUAGGAGGGGUAUCUGACUCAGUGAUAGAGUGAUAGUGGUAGUGAUAGUAGUAGGAGGGGUGUCUGACUCAGUGAUAGUAGUAGGAGGGGUGUCUGACUCAGUGAUAGUAGUAGGAGGGGUGUCUGACUCAGUGAUAGAGUGAUAGUGGUAGUGAUAGUAGUAGGUAGGAGGGGUAUCUGACUCAGUGAUAGAGUGAUAGUGGUAGUGAUAGUAGUAGGUAGGAGUGGUAUCUGACUCAGUGAUAGAGUGAUAGUGGUAGUGAUAGUAGUAGGUAGGAGUGGUAUCUGACUCAGUGAUAGAGUGAUAGUGGUAGUGAUAGUAAUAGGUAGGAGGGGUAUCUGACUCAGUGAUAGAGUGAUAGUGGUAGUGAUAGUAGUAGGUAGGAGGGGUAUCUGACUCAGUGAUAGAGUGAUAGUGGUAGUGAUAGUAGUAGGAGGGGU